rnacentral:snRNA from 1 species
GCAAAUGCACUUAUACUAAAACUGGAAGAAUACAGCAAAGACAAGCACGGCCCCCUCUGCAAGAGUGACACGCAAAUUCAUUAAGUGUAGCAUAUUUUG